ensembl:lncRNA
GGCCUGAAGGGUCAGCUCAAAACAAAAUACGCUGGAGGAGCAGGGCCAUUGACCAAACUUCUUACCUGAGUAUAUUACGCCUCUGUGUAUUUCCAUAUUAGCUUUUUUGUAUUAGUUAUAGAGGAGGUAGGGAGAAAUAUUUUUAGAAAAUGUUCUCUUGGUAUUUUUCAAGCGGACAAAAAAAGCAAAUAACACCAAGUUUAAAAGAAAUUGUACUUGUGGGAGUUCCAGACCAUUUUGGUCAAGCUAACCAGGCCUGAUAUUUUGGACACGGUUAAGACACGUACUUGAACUUCUGGGUGGCUAUCUAAUUCAAACCUUCAGCGUUAUGGAAGUUCCUUACUAAAUAUUAGUGUUAGAAAUGCCUUGUCUUACGAGAGCCUCUGAUAGGAAAGCUCUGGAAAAAUGCAGGUCUAAACUGGGAAAGGCUUUUCAUUAUUUUUUUUAAGCAAAUAAAACCCCAGAAUGGAUUUUCUUUCCAAGAUGUGUUUUGUUUUAUCACAAUGACCUUUCUAAAGAAAGAUGAAGCCAGCCUCAGGUUAACUCUGAAGGCCUCAGCUCAUCCAACUGAGAGCAGAUUAGCCCAGAUGGAGACAUUUUCAACACGGUGCUGUCUGGCCAAUCAGAGACAGCUGGGAUUAGCCAAAUACCUUCUCUCAUCUGCUUGCUCACAGAAAGGCCAACAUAUUCAAAGUCCAAAUAAUGUAUUUCUUCAAAAGUGACCAUUCUGGCUAAUAUGAUCCACUCUUACCUGGCGCCCACGAAUUGGCCUUCUCUCUUCACCUCCACUCUGGAUUUCGACCUGAAGUUUGACCUCCAUGGGUCUUCAGUUUAAAGGGCAAGCCCUAGGAAAUGCAGAAAGAGUUCAGAUAAGUACAAAAAUUACCUGUUAAAUACUAACUAAUUGCCCUUUUCCAGCUUAGCACUAACAGUACAGACUCCAUAAUGCCUGGAGAUCAUUCAGCUAAUAACAUCAAUAAAACAUUCCACCAGAUUUUGCCUUAAUUAUCUAAGUAGUACAGGUAGAAACAUUAAAUUCAGUGGAUGUGAAUAUUUAUAUCAAUGCUUUAUCCAUUCAGGAUUACACAUAACUUUCAUACCAAACUUCAGCCAAUUAUUUCUCAUUUUGUUAAUAACAAUUGUGCUUCCAAUUGCCACACUGGCUAAUUACAAGUCCAUAUGUAUUUUGAUGAACUGUACAUGUAAUUUUCUAAAUAGUUUCAGGUUUUUGAUUCUCAAGAAUGAUCAAAUGUGAAUAAAUUUUAAUGUCCAUAAGACAAAUUCAUUUCUAGUUCUAAAUAGUAGGAGAUAUACUGGUCUGUUAAAUUACAUUGUGUUUUGGAGCUAAAAUACAUUUGACUGUUUUGGAUUUUUGGGGAGAGACGAGCUUUGUUGCCAAUUUGACAUCUAGAGAUUAAACCAGAUAAUGGCUAUGAUGCUGGGAAACUUACAGUCUUUGAGACUUUUCUUUUAACAACCUUUGGGUCGCAGUAGAAAAACAAAAUCUCAGAAUAUUGGUUUACUUAUAUAAUCCCUAUAAGAGAGCGGGCUAGUUUAGGUUCACAAAAGAAAUAGAAAAUUCCUGAGUUUGCCCAUUGCUGUCUUGUAGCAAAAUAAAGCCACAGAGAAAUAUCCUUUAAGGCAAUAAAAGGAAGGUGUCUUCUGGUACAGACAUAUUUCAAUUGUUAUUGUUUUUUGAACUGACUGGAUGGUACUGGAUAAUAAUGGGGCUAUUUUUGACAGUCUCUUAUUUAUGUGUCUCUGGAUGUGUUUGUAUAUGUGUGUGGGUAAGUUUCAGUGCUACAUACAUCAGAAUAAUAUUUAAGGUUAAUAUGGUUGAAAUGAAUUUUUUUAUCCCCCAAAUGCAUUGAUUUCUAGAUUCCUCUAAAACAAUUUUAAAUUGUAUACCCACUACAAGAGCUUGUUUACAUAAGAAGUAGGAGAUAAAUAGAAAAAAUUCUUAUAAAAAUAAGAUUCUAGAGGAACAAUUGAGUUCGGGUUUGUUUUUUGAGACGCCCAAGUUGUAAAGUUGUCGAGAAAAAUUCAUAUUAACUUACUGGGGAGAUAACUUAAUAAAUAAAAUCUUUGAGCAGUUGACCUUUGUGGUGCAAACAUCAAUGGAGAUGAAUUCACUUAAUAUGGGGAUAGAAUUUCUGCAGGACUUUACCUAAGAUGGUAUGUUUUGCAACCUGGGCUUAGAAAACAAUCUGUGAAACUAAAAUAAAGUGGAAAUGGACUGACUUUGACUUGUAUAGCUAUGCUAUUAUUUUGAUUUCAGAAAUUUAUAUGAGGACAAUUUACAUAAAUGUUUGCCUCAGCCUGAUGAGCCCCAGAUCAGACAGUCCCCAGAUCUAUCCCCAGUACUCACUGAGCACAUACUAUAUGCCAAACUAUGUACAGGUACUGAAGAAACACGAAAACCUAUUUUGCCUCUAAAAGUCUUAGAGUAUCUUCUAUGUUUCUGUAGCAUUUAUAACAGUUGCAGUUUAUUGAUUAAUUACUUAAUGAAUCAUGUAAUAUUUUCCUAUUUCUAUAGAUUAUAUGCUCCCAGAUAGCAAAGUUUAUUCUUUGUUAUCUCCAGUGCCUAGCAGUAUCUAGCACAUAGAAAAUAUUUAAGAAGCAUUUGCCUAAAUACAAAAAAGUAUAAAUGAAUAGGAGACCCUGUUAGUUAUUAACCCAAUAUACAUUCUCCUUUUUUUCUUGCUAUCAAAAUAUUAGACAAUAGUUCAGCUGAAAAAUAUGUCUUAACCUUCCUUCCAUCUUCCAGGUAGUUGUGGGCCUUCUUUGGUUCUUUUUGCCCUAUGAGUUCCUGCUCCUGCUUUCAGUUUUGGACUGGAGCAACCAGCUGGCGCUCUACCAGUAUCUGGGAGCUGUAUUAUGAAAGCCAAGCUUUGGGGAUGAUAAAGCAAAAAGGCCCCUGAUAGUACCAUGGAACUCCCUGACCAGCAAUGAAGGGGCUCCUUCCAGACUCCUUUAGCACAACAGAAAAAUAAACUUCUAUCUUAUUUAAACUACUGCCAUUUCCUGUCUCUGAUACUAGUAGCUCAACAUACUUUUUCUAAGUGAUUCAGACCAUUAUAAAUUUCUGUUGCCGGUAAUUGGACAUAUGUAGCAGACAAACUAAUCCCAUUAAGACUAGUGUGUUAUUUUUUACCCCACAAUUGAAGACUCUUUUUGAUUGGCUUAAAUCAGUGGUUCUCCACUGAGGGUGGUUUUCUCCCCCUCCCCCCAGGAUAUCUGACAACAUCUGGAGACACUUUGGUGGUCACAGCUGGGGGAGGGGGGGCUUGUACUGGCAUCUAGUGGGUAGAGGCCAGACAUGCUGCUAUUGUCUUAUGGUGCACAGGACGCAGCCCUGCAACAAAAAAUUAUCCAGACCAAAAUAUUAAUGGUGCCAAGGUUAAGAAGCCCUGGGUUAAAUCUUUAUUAAUUAAGUUGCUUACGCAGCCCACCUAACCAUUAACUGUUGAUUAAUGUUUUUUUUUUUGUAAUGUGAGCCUACUUUUUGACUUUGCCUACACAGAAAAUGGUCAUUUUUCCUUACAUCAUAAGGUAAAGUUUAUUAAAUAAAGGUGUGUUUUACUUUUGUGACUAGAUGGCGGAAGUGGGUAAUGAACCAGGUAUCGGCCCGAUGAAUUCUCCUACAGAAAAGUAGAAUAAUACGAAGAAACACAAGAAAGCACCAAGUAAUGAAAAGGCUCAUUGUUACAGACACAACCGUUAAGACAAUGAUGCUGGAGAGUGAAAUAAAGAUGGUGAUGCAGCUCAGUGAACGUUUGAUUGGAAAUGAAGCUGUAGUUGAAUUGGGAAUUGAGACACUGGAAUAAGAUUCCUACUAUGGGAAA